rnacentral:rRNA from 1 species
AAUAUUUGACAAUGGGCGGAAGCCUGAUCCAGCCAUGCCGCGUGUGUGAAGAAGGCCUUCGGGUUGUCCAGCACUUUCGUACGGAAGGAAGUGCAGUAAGCGAAUACUCAACUCGGAUGACGUUACCAUAAGAAUAAGCACCGGCUAACUUCGUGCCAGCAGCCGCGGUAAUACGAAGGGUGCAAGCGUUAAUCGGAAUUACUGGGCGUAAAGCGUGCGUAGGUGGUUGAUUAAGAUGGACGUGAAAGCCCCGGGCUCAACCUGGGAACUGCGUUUAAAACUGGCGAGCUAGAGUACGGUAGAGGGUGGUGGAAUUUCACGUGUAGCAGUGAAAUGCGUAGAUAUGGGAAGGAACAUCAGUGGCGAAGGCGGCCACCUGGGCUGAUACUGACGCUGAGGCGCGAAAGCGUGGGGAGCAAACAGG